CCGCGUUCGCGCGACUGGCGAUUGAGAUGGAGCACCAUCGGGAAGCGCGAGCGGUCGAGCCCCGCGCCUGGGCAAUCGGG
rnacentral:ncRNA from 2 species